rnacentral:rRNA from 1 species
UUUAAUGGCCGCAGUAUUUUGACUGUGCAAAGGUAGCAUAAUCAUUAGUUUCUUAAUUAGAAACUGGAAUGAAAGGUUGGACGAGAAAAUAACUGUCUCUUUAUUAAUUAGUUAGAAUUUUAUUUUUAAGUUAAAAAGCUUAAAUAUUUUUAAAAGACGAGAAGACCCUAUAGAGUUUUAUUAUUAAUUAUAUUAUUUUUAAUAUAGAAAAUUUUUAGAAUAAUAAAUUUAAUAAUUUGAUUGGGGUGAUUAAAAAAUUUAUAUAACUUUUUUUUUAUUUUAACAUUUAUUUAUGAAUUUUUGAUCCAUAUUUUAUGAUUAAAAGAUUAAAUUACCUUAGGGAUAACAGCGUAAUUUCUUUUUAGAGUUCAAAUCGAUAAAGAAGGUUGCGACCUCGAUGUUGGAUUAAAAUUAAAUUUUGGUGUAGAAGCUAAAAUGUUAGGUCUGUUCGACCUUUAAAAUUUUACAUGAUCUGAGUUUAAACCGGUGUGAGCCAGGUUGGUUUCUAUCUUUAAAUAAUUUUUAUAUUUUAGUACGAAAGGACCAAAUAUAAUAAAAAUUUUAUAAUAAUGAAUAUUAUUAAUU